rnacentral:tRNA from 1 species
GGGGAUUUAGCUCAGUGGUAGAGUGCUUGCCUAGCAAGCACAAGGCCCUGGGUUCGAUCCUCAGCUCCG